ACACUCUGUGUCACGCUGAAUAUCCCUGAGAACUACGCUAAGAGUACACGUGUCUUAGGAGUGCUCAGCCACUUGGACAUUAAUUUUACGAGCAGGCUGUUCCGUUGAUCGGAUCAACUUGAACCCUCUCCGUCGUAGGCGACGGAGUGUCAACAACAACAACAACAACAACAA